ACUCAAAGGAAUAGACGGGGACCCGCACAAGCGGUGGAGCGCGUGGUUUAAUUCGACAAUAAACGAAGAACCUUACCAAGGCUUGACAUGUAAGGAAGUCGCUAGAAACAGUGAUGUGCCCGCAAGGGAACCUUAACACAGAUGCUGCAUGGCUGUCGUCAGUUCGUGUCGUGAGAUGUUUAGUUAAGUCUAUAAACGAGCGCAACCCUCAUCCAAUGUUGUAUAUCUUUGGAGACUGCCUUGUUUUAACAAGGAGGAAGGAGAGGAUGACGUCUAGUCCGCAUGGCUCUUACGCCUUGGGCCACACACACGCUACAAUGGUCGGUACAGAGGGUCGCGAACCCGCGAGGGGGAGCUAAUCCCACAAAGCCGAUCUCAGUUCGGAUUGCAGGCUGAAAUUCGCCUGCAUGAAGUUGGAAUCGCUAGUAAAUGCGUGUCAGCAUGGCGCAUUGAAUACGUUCUCGGGUCUUGUACACACCGCCCGU
rnacentral:rRNA from 1 species